rnacentral:rRNA from 1 species
AAGCGGAGGAAAAGAAACCAACAGGGAUUGCCCUAGUAACGGCGAGUGAAGCGGCAACAGCUCAAAUUUGAAAUCUGGCCUUCGGGUCCGAAUUGUAAUUUGCAGAGGAUGCUUUUGGCGCGGUGCCUUCCGAGUUCCCUGGAACGGGACGCCUUAGAGGGUGAGAGCCCCGUACGGUUGGACACCAAGCCUCUGUAAAGCUCCUUCGACGAGUCGAGUAGUUUGGGAAUGCUGCUCUAAAUGGGAGGUAAAUUUCUUCUAAAGCUAAAUACCGGCUAGAGACCGAUAGCGCACAAGUAGAGUGAUCGAAAGAUGAAAAGCACUUUGAAAAGAGGGUUAAAUAGCACGUGAAAUUGUUGAAAGGGAAGCGUUUACGGCCAGACCUUUUCCUGGCGGAUCAUCUGGUGUUCUCACCGGUGCACUUCGUCAGGUUUAGGCCAGCAUCGGCUUCUGUAGGGGGAUAAAAGCAGUGGGAAAGUAGCUCCUCCGGGAGUGUUAUAGCCCUAAGCAUAAUACCCUUGCGGGGGCCGAGGACCGCGCUUUUGCAAGGAUGCUGGCGUAAUGGUCGUCAACGACCCGUCUUGAAACACGGACCAAGGAGUCGAACAUUUGUGCGAGUGUUUGGGUGUUAAACCCUCACGCGUAAUGAAAGUGAACGGAGGUGAGAGCCCUUUAGGGUGCAUCAUCGACCGAUCCUGAUGUCUUCGGAUGGAUUUGAGUAAGAGCAUAACUGUUCGGACCCGAAAGAUGGUGAACUAUGCGUGGAUAGGGUGAAGCCAGAGGAAACUCUGGUGGAGGCUCGCAGCGGUUCUGACGUGCAAAUCGAUCGUCAAAUCUGCGCAUGGGGGCGAAAGACUUAUCGAACCAUCUAGU